AUUGAACGCUGGCGGCAGGCCUAACACAUGCAAGUCGAGCGGAUGAAGGGAGCUUGCUCCUGGAUUCAGCGGCGGACGGGUGAGUAAUGCCUAGGAAUCUGCCUGGUAGUGGGGGAUAACGUCCGGAAACGGGCGCUAAUACCGCAUACGUCCUGAGGGAGAAAGUGGGGGAUCUUCGGACCUCACGCUAUCAGAUGAGCCUAGGUCGGAUUAGCUAGUUGGUGGGGUAAAGGCCUACCAAGGCGACGAUCCGUAACUGGUCUGAGAGGAUGAUCAGUCACACUGGAACUGAGACACGGUCCGGACUCCUACGGGAGGCAGCAGUGGGGAAUAUUGGACAAAGGGCGAAAGCCUGAUCCAGCCAUGCCGCGUGUGUGAAGAAGGUCUUCGGAUUGUAAAGCACUUUAAGUUGGGAGGAAGGGCAGUAAGUUAAUACCUUGCUGUUUUGACGUUACCAACAGAAUAAGCACCGGCUAACUUCGUG
rnacentral:rRNA from 1 species